rnacentral:rRNA from 1 species
UAGGGAAUCUUCGGCAAUGGGGGGAACCCUGACCGAGCAACGCCGCGUGAGUGAAGAAGGUUUUCGGAUCGUAAAGCUCUGUUGUUAAGGAAGAACGAGUGUGAGAAUGGAAAGUUCAUACUGUGACGGUACUUAACCAGAAAGGGACGGCUAACUACGUGCCAGCAGCCGCGGUAAUACGUAGGUCCCGAGCGUUGUCCGGAGUUAUUGGGCGUAAAGCGAGCGCAGGCGGUUAGAUAAGUCUGAAGUUAAAGGCAGUGGCUCAACCAUUGUAGGCUUUGGAAACUGUUUAACUUGAGUGCAGAAGGGGAGAGUGGAAUUCCAUGUGUAGCGGUGAAAUGCGUAGAUAUAUGGAGGAACCCCGGUGGCGAAAGCGGCUCUCUGGUCUGUAACUGACGCUGAGGCUCGAAAGCGUGGGGAGCGAACAGG